CUGUACAAAUUUUGCUUUGCACUGCCCAUUCAGACAUUCUGCUCAAAAACCUAGCUGUGUCCACAAAGUUCUCGUAACACUUCAGCAACUAGUCUCCAAACAACAAUCAUGGUAUCUCCCUCUCUAAACCUCACAGAAAUGUUUGUGUUUAAUUUCUUGAUAUUGGCUGACUGUGUGUAUAUAUGUGCAGGCGGAUGUAGAGAACGAUGUUACGACAGGGCAGCCAAAGAAGAGGACGUUUAAGAAGUUCAGCUUCAGGGGUGUGGAUCUCGAUGCCCUUCUUGAUAUGUCAACGGAUGAGCUCGUCAAGCUCUUCCAUGCCCGCGCCCGCCGAAGGUAUUUUUUCCCCCAUGUUAUAUGCAUUGUGUCUGUAAUCGAGGAUAAUUUAAUCCUUGCAAUCUGCAACUGUUGAUUUAUAUUUACUUAAACAUGCCUUUUCAGACUUAAGGUUUGUAUUAGAUUUGUAUAUAAAUUUGUUAGUAAAUCUGUUAGCUUAUCUGUUAGUUUGUUAGGUAGUUGAUAGUUGGUAGCCAGCUGGCUUCCUUUGUACACCGUAUAUGCAUUCUAUUUAUGAGUAAAUUUAAUUAAUGCUCAUCCAACUUUGGUCUAUAUUACUACUUGCUCACCCAACAAUAAAAUAUAACUCGUUGCUCACUCAUCUAUUCAAUUACUUACUCAUUGCUCAUCUAUCUCAUCUCCUUCUAUUAAACUAACAGAAUGUGCCACAUGGCAGACCAAAAUCCCACGUGGCUCAAAUACUAGAAACGAAAUCGGGCCAAUUUAUCGCCUUUAUCGAAAAACUCAGUUGGAAUCCCCGCCUCCACCUCCUGUAAAUUCUCUACCAGAACGACCAACCAAUGUGCCACCUUCCCAUCGGCCCAAUUUCCCUACCGGAUGCUUCACCAUUAACUUCUCCAAUACCUCCUCAUCCACCACACUCCACUCCCUUCCCCAUCUUUCUCCAAAUUUACAGAAGGCCCAUUAUAAUUCUCCUUACUUUCUCCAAAUUCAUAGGUGAAUCAGCAACAUUCAUUGAUUUCCCCAAAGAUCAAUCAAAUUCUACAGCAUCUUCUGGAGAUCUUUGAAGUAUUUUUGUUGGUUUCCAAUUGAUUUUCUAACUUAUUUCAACGAGAAUUUCAGGCUGAAAAUGGAUUAAACUUGAUAGGCCCAGGAGAAGGGAAAUAGAAAUCCAUAAGAGUAAAUUUGACGGGUUCAAAAUUGAAGUAAAUUAAUGCAAGACUAAAAACGAAAUUGGAAUAUGGCUCUCCUCUCCAGUAAUGGCAUUGAUUGGAAUUUUUAAUCUGAGUUUGCUGUCAUAUUCAUGGAGGAACUCCAUGGUCCAAAAUUCGAAACUGACAAUAGAGAAAAGAAGAAGAUGAUUGUUGUUGCCAUUUCACGUGCCACACCAUCACCUGAUUUCAUUUCAAAUUUGCCACGUGGCACAUUUUGUUAAUUUAGUAGACGUAGAUCAAAUGGGUGAGCAACGGGUAAGUAAUUGGAUAGAUUGGUGAGCAACUAUUUAUGUUUUGUUGUUCAGUGAGCAAGUAGUAAUAUACAUCAAAGUCGGAUGAGCAAUCGUUAAAUUUACUCUUCUAUUUAUAUCACCAUUGUAUAUCAUUUUUCUAGUAAGUAAGAAAUGAAAUCACAAUUCAUUCUUCCACAUUAUCAGUGCUCGAUCUAAUAUGGUAUCAGAGCAAAUCCAUCCCAUACUUUUCUUCUUCCCAUCAAAUUAUUUCUGAUUUUUGAUUCGGUCCUUAUAUGGAAUCAAUACAAUCUGCAAAUCAAUCCGAUUCAAGCUUAUCAGUGAAUAAGUCCGCCAUUGAUGGAUCUUCAAGUCCCUAUUUCCUCCACCACUCAGAUAGUCCAGGAUUGGUCUUGGUAUCUCUAACUACGCCUCCUGGAACCAUGCAAUGAUAAUUGCAUUAUCGGUCAAAAAUAAGCUUCGAUUCAUUGAUGGAAUUAUAUCCAAACCAGAAGGUACUAAUUCUGAAUUGACCAGCUUAUGGAGUCGAAUUAACAACAUAGUCAUUUCCUGGAUUUUGAAUUCUAUCUCAAAGGAAAUCUCUGGCAGUGUGAUAUAUGCUACAUUUGCCUUUGAAAUAUGGAAUGAUUUGAAGGAUAGAUUUUAGCAGAAAAAUGGACCAAGGAUUUUUCAAUUGAGAAGAGAGAUGAAGAAUUUAGUGCAGGACCAAAAUAAUGUUAGCAUCUACUUCACUAAGCUCAAAACAAUCUGGCAGGAACUAAGCAACUAUCGUCCUAGUUGUAAUUGUGGAAAAUGCACCUUUGGAGGGGUGAAGGAGUUAGAUAACCAUCAUCAAAUGGAGUACAUAAUGUCAUUUCUCAUGGGUUUAAAUGACUCGUUUUCUCAAGUUAGAGGGCAGAUAUUACUUAUGGACCCAUUGCCUCAAAUUAACAAGGUGUUUGCCUUGAUAUCUUAGGAAGAAAAUCAAAGAAAAGUACACAGAGUGCUGUGGGAAAUGAUUCAAGUGGAGCUAUGGCCGUUGCACUCAAAAUUGAUAACAAGGAGGCAGUAAACAAUCAUGGAUCCUAUAGCUCAACUAAAGAUCUGGAAGUAUUGGAAACAUAAAAAAGGAGAGAGCUUACUGUACUCAUUGUAACGUUCACGGUCAUUCAAUUAACAAAUGUUACAAGAUACAUGGGUAUCUGCCAGGUUAUAGAACAAGAACAAAGGACAAUUUACAAAACACAGUUGGUUAUAAUUGUGCUAAUCAAAUUUCUAUGCCAAUCAAUUCCCAGAAUGAUGAUAAGCUUGGUUUUGGGAACUUUCUUCAGAAUUUGAACUCUAAUGAGUAUCAACAGUUGAUGUCCAUGUUAUCCACCCAUUUGGCAUCAAGUUUAAGCAUAAUUGGUAUGGAUCAACAGGACAAUAACACCACUUCAUAUGUUGCAGGUAUAUGCUCUUCUGUGACAGUAGAUCCUACUUUUUCAUCCAAAGAUAUAUGGAUAGUAGACUCAGGUGCAACAAAUCAUGUGUGUUCAAUUGCUGCUGCCUUCAUGUCAAUGAGAAUCAUUGAUAAUUCUAUUGUUACUUUGCCAAACAGCACGCAUUCCGGUAAGGCUAUGUGGUAAUGUCAAGUUGAGCCAACAUAUUACUCUACAUGAUGUACUAUUUGUGCCCCAAUUCAAGUUCAAUUUGCUGUCUGUUAGUGAAUUAACACUUGGAUCACAAUUCACUAUUAGUUUUUCUCAUGAUCAUUUCAUCAUCUAGGAAGCCAAAACCAAGAGAAUGACUGGAAGGGCUGAAUUAUGUUUCAAAUGCAUUUGUAAACAAUAUUUCAGUUCACAUAUGGCAUAAUAGACUUGGCCAUCUUUCUUUUAAACGUUUGGGUAGUUUGAAGAAACAAUUGUUAUGUGAUGCUACAAAGUUGUAUAAAAACAUUCCUUGUUAUAUUUGUCUUCUCCCUAAACAAAGAAGACUAUCCUUUGAUUCAUACAAUCAUUGGUCAAGUAAUCCGUUUGAUCUUGUGCAUUGUGACAUUUGGGGACCUUAUCAUAUUGCAUCACAUACGGGACAUAGAUUCUUCUGGACUUUAGUAGAGGAUUGUUCAAGAUUUACAUGGAUUUUUCUGUUGAAACACAAGUCAGAUGCAACAAGUGUAAUUUCAAGGUUCUGCAAUAUGAUUUCAACACAUUUCAAUGCUACAAUAAAGGUAGUCAGAUAAGACAAUGCUCCCGAAUUAACAUUCGAUGAUUUCUUUGCUGAAAAGGGAAUACUUCAUCAAUACAGUUGUGUUGAAAAGCAUAACUCGAUGGUGGAACGAAAACAUCAGCCCCUCUUAAAGGUAGCAAGAGCAUUAUUUUUCCAGUCAUGGAUUCCUAUAAAAUUCUGGCCCAAAUGUGUGUUAACAGCCACUUUCCUGAUUAACAGGACUUCAUCUCCUCUGUUGAAGCACAAGACACCUUAUUUAAUCUUGUACAACAAACCUGCAGAAUACUCUACAGUAAGAGUGUAUGGAUGUUUGGCUUUUGCUUCCACCUUAACUGCCCAUAUAAAUAAGUUCCAAACACGUGCAAGAUUAUGUUUCUUCCUGGGAUAUCCAUUGGGAGUCAAGGGUUAUAAGUUGUAGGACGUGAUUACAAAGCAAAUUUUCUUGUCCCGAGAUGUUUUUCAUAAAGAAAUAUUUCGAUUCAAGACAAUCGCUAAAGCCAACCAUAUCACUGAUCCCUUUCCUGAGUUGGUAUUGCCAUUCCCUUAUAUGUCCACUUAUCAUGAUAGUAACAUUGAGUCAGUUCAACAUAUGUCUAAUCCUGCUCCAUUCAUUGAAAAUCAUACUCUUGCCCAAGAAAACACUUUAUCUCCUCACUAACACAUUUCCCACCUUGGUUGUUGUUAUCAGGAAGUCACGUGUCAUUGAACCUCCAAAAUAUCUUAAAGAUUUUCAUUGUAACAUGAUGUCUCAAAAUCCUUGUACCCUUUAUCUGUCAUCUACUUACGUCAGUCACUUUGUGUCAUAUGAUAAGUUGUCUCAAAGUCAGAGAUAUUUGACAUUGAAUAUCUCAGCCCAGGUUGAACCUCAAUCUACCAUCAAGCUUUCAAGUAUCUCCAAUGGUGUGAAGCUGUGAAACUUGAGUUAGAUGCUGAGGAGCUCAAUCACACAUGGUCCAUUGUCCCUUUGCCGUGAGGUAAACGCUCUAUUGGACGCAGGUGGAUAUACAAAAUCAAGUACAUCAAGACAUAAGGCACGCCUCGUUGCAAAAGGCUAUAUACACAACAAGAGGGUCUUGAUUAUUUUGACACAUUUUCUCCGGUGGCAAAGAUGGUAACGGUUAAAGUUUUGGUUGCUCAUCCAGCAUCCUACAAUUGGCAUCUAGUUCAACUCGAUGUUAAUAACGCCUUCUUGAAUGGUGACUUAUUUGUGGAAGUAUUCAUGGAUCUUCCACUUGGUUAUCAAGUCCAAAACCUUGCCAACAGGGGGAGAAAUUAGUAUGUAAACUACAUAAGUCUAUAUAUGGGCUCAAGCAAGCAUCAAGGCAAUGGAAUUCAAAAUUUUCACAAGCACUCAUCCAAUUUAGUUUUAUCCAAUCGAAGGCUGACUAUUCAUUAUUUACCAAAGGAUCUGGAAACAAAUAUGUGUCAUUGUUGGUCUAUGUUGAUGACAUUCUCAUCACCAGUCCUGAUAUUCAAGCAAUUGACGAAUUAAAAAUCUUCUUACAUUCUCAGUUCAAGCUCAAGGACUUAGGUUGUUUGAAGUAUUUUUUAGGCAUUGAAAAAGCUCGAUCCAAAUCAGGUUUGGUACUAUCUCAAAGGCACUAUACACUGCAGUUACUUGAAGAUGCUGGCUAGCUGGACUGCUAACCUGUUAGUUCGCCCAUGGAUCCAAAGGCUUAUCUCAGUUUACAUGAUGGAGAUCUUCUACCAGACGCAACACUUUAGAGAUGUUUGAUUGGAAGGCUAAUUUAUUUAACUUUGUCCGGCUUGAUAUCACAUAUGCUGUCCACAAGUUGAGUCAAUUCCUUUCUUAACCUCAGUUGCCACAUCUCGAGGCUGUACGUCAUCUUCUUAGCUACUUGAAGAACAAUCCUGGUCAAGGUUUAUUCUAUCCAGCAGCUCCCCUUCACCAGUAAAAUUGCAGGCCUUUUCAGAUGCAGAUUGGGGUUCUUGUGUUGACACACGAAAGUCCACCACUGUUUUUUGUAUCUUCAUUGGAGAAUCACUCAUAUCUUGGAAAGCAAAGAGACA
rnacentral:lncRNA from 1 species